rnacentral:rRNA from 1 species
GACGAACGCUGGCGGCGUGCUUAACACAUGCAAGUCGAACGGAAAGGCCCUGCUUGCAGGGUACUCGAGUGGCGAACGGGUGAGUAACACGUGGGUGAUCUGCCCUGCACUUCGGGAUAAGCCUGGGAAACUGGGUCUAAUACCGGAUAGGAGCCAUUUUUAGUGCGAUGGUUGGAAAGUUUUUUCGGUGUAGGAUGAGCUCGCGGCCUAUCAGCUUGUUGGUGGGGUAAUGGCCUACCAAGGCGGCGACGGGUAGCCGGCCUGAGAGGGUGGACGGCCACAUUGGGACUGAGAUACGGCCCAGACUCCUACGGGAGGCAGCAGUGGGGAAUAUUGCACAAUGGGCGCAAGCCUGAUGCAGCGACGCCGCGUGGGGGAUGACGGCCUUCGGGUUGUAAACUCCUUUCGCUAGGGACGAAGCUUUUUGUGACGGUACCUAGAUAAGAAGCACCGGCUAACUACGUG